rfam:Camelus ferus unplaced genomic scaffold scaffold513, whole genome shotgun sequence.
GAGGGUAUAGCUUAGUGGUAGAGCACAUUCUUAGCAUGCACAAGGUCCUGGGUUCAAUCCCCAGUACCUCCA